rnacentral:rRNA from 1 species
GUAGUCUCGCACAGAUGCAUAUCAAUAAGCGGAGGAAAAGAAACUAACAAGGAUUCCCUCAGUAACGGCGAGUGAAGCGGGAAGAGCUCAAAUUUGAAAUCUUGGAAGGUCACCUUUCACGAAUUGUAGUUUAAAGAAGUGUUUUCUGUUACGAUCGUAAUAUAAGUUCUUUGGAAUAGGACAUCACAGAGGGUGAGAAUCCCGUCUAUGAUUGCGAUUUGUAGCUUUGUGAUACACUUUCAAAGAGUCGGGUUGUUUGGGAAUGCAGCCCAAGACGGGAGGUAAAUUUCUUCUAAGGCUAAAUAUUGGCGAGAGACCGAUAGCGAACAAGUACCGUGAGGGAAAGAUGAAAAGAACUUUGAAAAGAGAGUUAAAUAGUACGUGAAAUUGUCAAAAGGGAAGCGUUUAACACCAGUGUUGUUUUCUGAAAAUCAACCUCUGUUAGCUUUAUGCAUGUUUGUUUAGACCUAAUCAGCUAUCUUGCAUGUUCUAUUGUUUGCAGUGGUGCACUUUUCAGUUUACAGGUCAACAUCAGUUUUUUUUACCGUAAAAAAGUUAAAGAAAGGUAGCUCAUGGCUCCGGUCGUGAGUGUUAUAGUCUUUUUCCUAUGCGGUAGGAGAGACUGAGGUCUGCAGUGUAGGCUAUUUGGCUAGAUACUCAGGUGCUAUGUGAUACCAUUUCAUAAACAACUUGUUGAUUAUGUUUUGUCUAUUGCAUACUCGCUUGUACUAUCAUACCUACGCUUAGGAUGUUGAGUCGUAGAGCACGCAG